GAUGAACGCUGGCGGCGUGCCUAAUACAUGCAAGUCGAGCGAACGGACGAGAAGCUUGCUUCUCUGAUGUUAGCGGCGGACGGGUGAGUAACACGUGGAUAACCUACCUAUAAGACUGGGAUAACUUCGGGAAACCGGAGCUAAUACCGGAUGAUAUUUUGAACCGCAUGGUUCAAAAGUGAAAGACGGUCUUGCUGUCACUUAUAGAUGGAUCCGCGCUGCAUUAGCUAGUUGGUAAGGUAACGGCUUACCAAGGCAACGAUGCAUAGCCGACCUGAGAGGGUGAUCGGCCACACUGGAACUGAGACACGGUCCAGACUCCUACGGGAGGCAGCAGUAGGGAAUCUUCCGCAAUGGGCGAAAGCCUGACGGAGCAACGCCGCGUGAGUGAUGAAGGCCUUCGGAUCGUAAAACUCUAUUAUUAGGGAAGAACAUAUGUGUAAGUAACUGUGCACAUCUUGACGGUACCUAAUCAGAAAGCCACGGCUAACUACGUG
rnacentral:rRNA from 1 species